rnacentral:rRNA from 1 species
CAAGGCUUGACAUAUACCGGAAAGCAUUAGAGAUAGUGCCCCCCUUGUGGUCGGUAUACAGGUGGUGCAUGGCUGUCGUCAGCUCGUGUCGUGAGAUGUUGGGUUAAGUCCCGCAACGAGCGCAACCCUUGUCCUGUGUUGCCAACAUGCCCUUCGGGGUGAUGGGGACUCACAGGAGACCGCCGGGGUCAACUCGGAGGAAGGUGGGGACGACGUCAAGUCAUCAUGCCCCUUAUGUCUUGGGCUGCACACGUGCUACAAUGGCCGGUACAAAGAGCUGCGAUGCCGCGAGGCGGAGCGAAUCUCAAAAAGCCGGUCUCAGUUCGGAUUGGGGUCUGCAACUCGACCCCAUGAAGUCGGAGUUGCUAGUAAUCGCAGAUCAGCAUUGCUGCGGUGAAUACGUUCCCGGGCCU